AUACGGAGGGUGCAAGCGUUGUUCGGAAUCACUGGGCGUAAAGGGCGCGCAGGCGGUUUGGUAAGUCAGAUGCGAAAGCCUACGGCUCAACCGUGGAAGUGCAUUUGAAACUGUCAGACUUGAGUACUAGAGGGGAAAGUGGAAUUCCCGGUGUAGAGGUGAAAUUCGUAGAUAUCGGGAGGAAUACCGGUGGCGAAGGCGACUUUCUGGCUAGAUACUGACGCUGAGGCGCGAAAGCGUGGGGAGCAAACAGGAUUAGAAACCCCAGUAGUCC
rnacentral:rRNA from 1 species